rnacentral:rRNA from 1 species
GACGAACGCUGGCGGCGUGCUUAACACAUGCAAGUCGAACGGACAGGCCCUGCUUUUGUGGGGUGCUCGAGUGGCGAACGGGUGAGUAACACGUGAGUAAACUGCCCUUGACUGUGGGAUAACUUCUGGAAACUGGGGCUAAUACCGGAUAGGAGCUCCUGCUGCAUGGGGGGGGUUGGAAAGUUUCGGCGGUUGGGGAUGGACUCGCGGCUUAUCCGCUUGUUGGUGGGGUAGUGGCUUACCAAGGCUUUGACGGGUAGCCGGCCUGGGAGGGGGACCGGCCACAAGGGGACUGAGAGACGGCCCAGACGCCUACGGGAGGCAGCAGUGGAGAAUAUUGCACAAUGGGCGGAAGCCUGAUGCAGCAACGCCGCGUGCGGGAUGACGGGCUUCGAGUUGUAAACCGCUUUCGCCGUUGACGAAGCGUGAGUGACGGUAAUGGGUAAAGAAGCCCCGGCUAACUACGUG